CGCGUGAGGAACCUGCCUCAAAGAGGGGGACAACAGUUGGAAACGACUGCUAAUACCGCAUAAGCCCACGGCUCGGCAUCGAGCAGAGGGAAAAGGAGCGAUCCGCUUUGAGAUGGCCUCGCGUCCGAUUAGCUAGUUGGUGAGGUAACGGCCCACCAAGGCGACGAUCGGUAGCCGGACUGAGAGGUUGAACGGCCACAUUGGGACUGAGACACGGCCCAGACUCCUACGGGAGGCAGCAGUGGGGAAUAUUGCACAAUGGGGGAAACCCUGAUGCAGCGACGCCGCGUGGAGGAAGAAGGUCUUCGGAUUGUAAACUCCUGUUGUUGAGGAAGAUAAUGACGGUACUCAACAAGGAAGUGACGGCUAACUACGUGCCAGCAGCCGCGGUAAAACGUAGGUCACAAGCGUUGUCCGGAAUUACUGGGUGUAAAGGGAGCGCAGGCGGGAGAMCAAGUKGGAAGUGAAAUCCAUGGSYUCAACCCAUGAACUGCUUUCAAAACUGUUUUUCUUGAGUAGUGCAGAGGUAGGCGGAAUUCCCGGUGUAGCGGUGGAAUGCGUAGAUAUCGGGAGGAACACCAGUGGCGAAGGCGGCCUACUGGGCACCAACUGACGCUGAGGCUCGAAAGUGUGGGUAGCAAACAGGAUUAGAUACCCUGGUAGUCCACACCGUAAACGAUGAUUACUAGGUGUUGGAGGAUUGACCCCUUCAGUGCCGCAGUUAACACAAUAAGUAAUCCACCUGGGGAGUACGACCGCAAGGUUGAAACUCAAAGGAAUUGACGGGGCCCGCACAAGCAGUGGAGUAUGUGGUUUAAUUCGACGCAACGCGAAGAACCUUACCAAGUCUUGACAUCCCUUGACGAACAUAGAAAUAUGUUUUCUCUUCGGAGCAAGGAGACAGGUGGUGCAUGGUUGUCGUCAGCUCGUGUCGUGAGAUGUUGGGUUAAGUCCCGCAACGAGCGCAACCCUUAUGGUCAGUUACUACGCAAGAGGACUCUGGCCAGACUGCCGUUGACAAAACGGAGGAAGGUGGGGAUGACGUCAAAUCAUCAUGCCCUUUAUGACUUGGGCUACACACGUACUACAAUGGCGUUAAACAAAGAGAAGCAAGACCGCGAGGUGGAGCAAAACUCAGAAACAACGUCCCAGUUCGGACUGCAGGCUGCAACUCGCCUGCACGAAGUCGGAAUUGCUAGUAAUCGUGGAUCAGCAUGCCAGCGUGAAUACGUUCCCGUGCCUUGUACACACCGCACCGUCACACCAUGAGAGCCGGGG
rnacentral:rRNA from 1 species